rnacentral:sRNA from 1 species
AUGAAACUGCUGGAAGUAGAAGUUUUCUGUUUAUUCACAAAACCAAUACAGCAUAGUCAGUAACAGUUUCCUCACACUGCCCUGCCAAUGUACCUCAACCCUGACUUAGCUAGCAAAGUAAUCUGCUUUCUGUGCCCAUUCAGUCAUUGGCCAUU